GAGUGGUGGCGCAGUUGGCUAGCGCUUUGGUCUCAUAGCUUCUUUAAGAGAGUUAUCCUGAGGUCGAGAGUUCGAGCCUCUCCUCCUCCAAUAAAGGAGAAAAGAGCCAUGAGGAUAACUGCGCAACCUGUGAUGCUAGGGCGCAUCACGACCGUCAGAUUAUUCCGACGAAACUGCGCUUCUGAGCUCU